rnacentral:rRNA from 1 species
CCCUGCCAUUUGUACACACCGCCCGUCGCUCCUACCGAUUGAAUGUUCCGGUGAGCUUCUCGGAUGUGUGAUAUCUAUCACGCAGAAGAGCAGUGAACCUUGACAUUUAGAGGAAGGAGAAGUCGUAA